rnacentral:rRNA from 1 species
CCCUGCCCUUUGUACACACCGCCCGUCGCUACUACCGAUUGAAUGGUUUAGUGAGACCCUCGGAUCGGUCCCUGCGGGGCGGUCUCCGCCCCGCCGGUGUGCUGAGAAGACGGUCGAACUUGAUCAUU